GUGAAAGGCCAAUCAAACCGGGAGAUAGCUGGUUCUCCCCGAAAGCUAUUUAGGUAGCGCCUCGAGAAUUCAUCUCCGGGGGUAGAGCACUGUUUCGGCAAGGGGGUCAUCCCGACUUACCAACCCGAUGCAAACUGCGAAUACCGGAGAAUGUUAUCACGGGAGACACACGGCGGGUGCUAACGUCCGUCGUGAAGAGGGAAACAACCCAGACCGCCAGCUAAGGUCCCAAAGUCAUGGUUAAGUGGGAAACGAUGUGGGAAGGCCCAGACAGCCAGGAUGUUGGCUUAGAAGCAGCCAUCAUUUAAAGAAAGCGUAAUAGCUCACUGGUCGAGUCGGCCUGCGCGGAAGAUGUAACGGGGCUAAACCAUGCACCGAAGCUGCGGCAGCGACGCUUAUGCGUUGUUGGGUAGGGGAGCGUUCUGUAAGCCUGUGAAGGUGUGCUGUGAGGCAUGCUGGAGGUAUCAGAAGUGCGAAUGCUGACAUAAGUAACGAUAAAGCGGGUGAAAAGCCCGCUCGCCGGAAGACCAAGGGUUCCUGUCCAACGUUAAUCGGGGCAGGGUGAGUCGACCCCUAAGGCGAGGCCGAAAGGCGUAGUCGAUGGGAAACAGGUUAAUAUUCCUGUACUUGGUGUUACUGCGAAGGGGGGACGGAGAAGGCUAUGUUGGCCGGGCGACGGUUGUCCCGGUUUAAGCGUGUAGGCUGGUUUUCCAGGCAAAUCCGGAAAAUCAAGGCUGAGGCGUGAUGACGAGGCACUACGGUGCUGAAGCAACAAAUGCCCUGCUUCCAGGAAAAGCCUCUAAGCAUCAGGUAACAUCAAAUCGUACCCCAAACCGACACAGGUGGUCAGGUAGAGAAUACCAAGGCGCUUGAGAGAACUCGGGUGAAGGAACUAGGCAAAAUGGUGCCGUAACUUCGGGAGAAGGCACGCUGAUAUGUAGGUGAAGCGACUUGCUCGUGGAGCUGAAAUCAGUCGAAGAUACCAGCUGGCUGCAACUGUUUAUUAAAAACACAGCACUGUGCAAACACGAAAGUGGACGUAUACGGUGUGACGCCUGCCCGGUGCCGGAAGGUUAAUUGAUGGGGUUAGCGCAAGCGAAGCUCUUGAUCGAAGCCCCGGUAAACGGCGGCCGUAACUAUAACGGUCCUAAGGUAGCGAAAUUCCUUGUCGGGUAAGUUCCGACCUGCACGAAUGGCGUAAUGAUGGCCAGGCUGUCUCCACCCGAGACUCAGUGAAAUUGAACUCGCUGUGAAGAUGCAGUGUACCCGCGGCAAGACGGAAAGACCCCGUGAACCUUUACUAUAGCUUGACACUGAACAUUGAGCCUUGAUGUGUAGGAUAGGUGGGAGGCUUGGAAGUGUGGACGCCAGUCUGCAUGGAGCCGACCUUGAAAUACCACCCUUUAAUGUUUGAUGUUCUAAC
rnacentral:rRNA from 1 species